GUUCUAAUGAGAGUGGUGCUUUUGGAAAUGCUGGCCUUGGUGCAUCAUUAUUUCCUGGAUUGGGUUUCAAUCCUCUCGGUGGGGUUGGAGCUGGACUUCCUGAGUUUGAGCAAGUGCAACAACAGUUGACUCAGAAUCCAAACAUGAUGAGGGAAAUAAUGAACAUGCCUGCAAUUCAGAAUUUGAUGAAUAACCCUGACUUGAUGCGAACCUUAAUUAUGAGCAAUCCUCAGAUGCGGGAUAUUAUUGACAGGAACCCAGAGCUUGCUCAUAUACUCAAUGACCCUGGAAUCCUUCGACAGACAUUAGAGGCUGCAAGGAAUCCUGAACUCAUGAGAGAGAUGAUGAGAAACACUGACAGAGCAAUGAGUAACAUCGAAUCUUCUCCAGAGGGAUUUAACAUGCUGAGGCGGAUGUAUG
rnacentral:misc_RNA from 1 species